CCGUAAAUGAACCUGCGGAAGGAUCAUUACCGAGUGAGGGCCCUCUGGGUCCAACCUCCCACCCGUGUUUAUUUUACCUUGUUGCUUCGGCGGGCCCGCCUUAACUGGCCGCCGGGGGGCUUACGCCCCCGGGCCCGCGCCCGCCGAAGACACCCUCGAACUCUGUCUGAAGAUUGAAGUCUGAGUGAAAAUAUAAAUUAUUUAAAACUUUCAACAACGGAUCUCUUGGUUCCGGCAUCGAUGAAGAACGCAGCGAAAUGCGAUACGUAAUGUGAAUUGCAAAUUCAGUGAAUCAUCGAGUCUUUGAACGCACAUUGCGCCCCCUGGUAUUCCGGGGGGCAUGCCUGUCCGAGCGUCAUUGCUGCCCUCAAGCCCGGCUUGUGUGUUGGGCCCCGUCCCCCGAUCUCCGGGGGACGGGCCCGAAAGGCAGCGGCGGCACCGCGUCCGGUCCUCGAGCGUAUGGGGCUUUGUCACCCGCUCUGUAGGCCCGGCCGGCGCUUGCCGAUCAACCCAAAUUUUUAUCCAGGUUGAC
rnacentral:rRNA from 1 species